GACAGAGGGGGCAAGCGUUGCUCGGAAUCACUGGGCGUAAAGGGCGCGUAGGCGGGAUGGCAAGUCGGUCGUGAAAUCCUUCGGCUCAACCGAAGAACGUCGGCCGAUACUGCCGUUCUUGAGGGAUGCAGAGGAGAUUGGAAUUUCCGGUGUAGCGGUGAAAUGUGUAGAGAUCGGGAGGAACACCGGUGGCGAAGGCGGGUCUCUGGGCCUGUACUGACGCUGAGGAGCGAAAGCGUGGGGAGCGAACAGG
rnacentral:rRNA from 1 species